GACAGAGGGUGCAAACGUUGUUCGGAAUUACUGGGCGUAAAGCGCGUGUAGGCUGCUCUGCAAGUCGGGUGUGAAAGCCCCUGGCUCAACCUGGGAAGUGCACUCGAAACUGCAGAGCUCGAGUCCUGGAGAGGAAGGCGGAAUUCUCGGUGUAGAGGUGAAAUUCGUAGAUAUCGAGAGGAACACCGGUGGCGAAGGCGGCCUUCUGGACAGUGACUGACGCUGAGACGCGAAAGCGUGGGGAGCAAACAGG
rnacentral:rRNA from 1 species